UCGAGGGGUAUGGUUCUUCGGAACCAGAGACCGGCGCACGGGUGCGUAACGCGUAUGCAAUCUACCUUUCACAGAGGGAUAGCCCAGAGAAAUUUGGAUUAAUACCUCAUAGUAUGCAGAGUUGGCAUCAACACUGCAUUAAAGUCACAACGGUGAAAGAUGAGCAUGCGUCCCAUUAGCUAGUUGGUAAGGUAACGGCUUACCAAGGCUACGAUGGGUAGGGGUCCUGAGAGGGAGAUCCCCCACACUGGUACUGAGACACGGACCAGACUCCUACGGGAGGCAGCAGUGAGGAAUAUUGGUCAAUGGGCGCAAGCCUGAACCAGCCAUGCCGCGUGCAGGAUGACGGUCCUAUGGAUUGUAAACUGCUUUUGUACGGGAAGAAACAACGAUUCGUGAAUCGUCUUGACGGUACCGUAAGAAUAAGGAUCGGCUAACUCCGUGCCAGCAGCCGCGGUAAUACGGAGGAUCCAAGCGUUAUCCGGAAUCAUUGGGUUUAAAGGGUCCGUAGGCGGUUUAGUAAGUCAGUGGUGAAAGCCCAUCGCUCAACGGUGGAACGGCCAUUGAUACUGCUAGACUUGAAUUAUUAGGAAGUAACUAGAAUAUGUAGUGUAGCGGUGAAAUGCUUAGAGAUUACAUGGAAUACCAAUUGCGAAGGCAGGUUACUACUAAUGGAUUGACGCUGAUGGACGAAAGCGUGGGUAGC
rnacentral:rRNA from 1 species